CACUGCAACCGAAAUAAAGCAAGAGUUUCUGGGAGUAGCAUUAGGAUGCAGCACUCCCGCUGUGCGCACCAGUUCCCCGCUCUGCACAGCUGCCUUCUCAGCUGGGGGUUUGAAAUCAGCACUGUGAGGAAAGACAGAAAUGACCGUGAUGCAUGCCCCUCACUAUGAGGAAAGGACUGACUGUGCAAAUUCCUCGUCUAAAUUCUGCAGCGCCGGCAGUAAGCUCCAGCAGGCACAUAUGUAGGCAGAGCAAAUGCAGGGUUAUGUAACUGCCUGAACAGCUUGUGCCAGAUUCAGCUCAGGCAGAAGCGUUCAUUUGAUACAAACCAGGUAAAUGAGUCUUUUGAUUUGAGUUCAUACAUUUUGAUUCAAUGUACAAUAAAAUAAAGACCCCUUGUUUCUGUUUUCUUAAGCAUGUGACUUAAUACUUGCACAGUCUUUGUAUGAAAUAAAAUACAUAACAUAUCAUAUAAUCCAUAACUCAGAGAUCAGCUGUCUAAAACUUAGAUGAAAAUAUGGAGAACCUGCUGUGGAGUGUUUCUGGAUACAGCUCCACAGUCAGAUGUAAGGUAGGAUUAAAAGCGCAAAUCUGCCUGUUGUGUUUGGAUCCUUCCCAGUCACAGUUUUGGAAAUCCCAGUGGACCCAAUUAACUCUUUUCUCCAGGUCCCUGGGUUUAAAUUGGGUCGCUUCUUUUUCGUCUUUCCUAACUGUUUUUCUUUCUCCCUGUCUCUCGUCCUUCCCCAUUUCAAGUUGAAUAUAUCCACUGUGGACAGCAGUUAAAAGGACCUCCAUUUCCCAAAGAAAUGAAUUGGAAAUAAUGAUCUUCAAGUAGGAAGCAUUGUGCAGUCUGAAAUGCUAGAACUGGAUUUGUGAACCAUUUCAAUUACCACAGAAAAUAAUUUAACAUUUUUCUGAUAAUUCAAUAAUAUAUCUCUAUCAUAUGAUUGAAUAAUAUCUCUUAUAGAUAUAACUACUGCUCAAAACUUGCAGAGGAGCCUACAGAUGAACACUUUAUAUCAGGAUAGGCAAGAAUUUUCUGUUUAGAACUUCAUUAGCACAGCAAAUAGCCUCAAAAAUUGACAAUUAAGGGUAUAUAAAAUUAAAGCUUCUACACAACCCAAACAACUAUGAACUGAGUGAACAGAUGGUCCAGAGAAUGGGAGAAAACCUGGUCCAACCAGUAUGGAAAUCAGUGUGGAUCUUCACAGAAUCUUAAGAAGCUGGAAGAGGAUAUCAGAGAUUUUAUGGAGCAAGAGUCACUGGCAAUUGUGAGUCUUCCAGCAUAGGUGCUAGAAAUUGAACUCCAGAACUAUGGGAGAAGAGUAAGCAUUUUCCACUGCUGAACAAUCACUUUCCAUCCAUAAUAUCUUCAUUCCUAAAGAUAACUUAAUCAAUCCAGUUCAUUCAUUCAUAUUUAAUUUCUUUAACCUCUGAACUUAAUUAGCUACUACUCUCUUAUAGGAUUCAGCUGCAAUUAAAAACACAUUUUUGAGUCUAAAUCUAGGCUGUUAAAAUAAUGUUUUCAAGCUUUGAUGAUUUGUACACAACAGAAUAUUUCUCAUAGUUUUGAAGGCUGUAGUUGCUUCUUGUAUAUUCACUUAACAGAAUGAUAAAAAUGUCUGUAGUCUGUUUUCUAUGGGUACUAAUUUAGUGGCCUAAUCACCUCUCACAGACUCCCAACUCUCAACAGCAUCCUUAGGGAUUAGGGUUCUAACUUGCAUUUCAGGAGGAAUAAACAAUGCACAGUGGUUGGGGUUAUAGGACCCUCAACCUCAGAAGUAUUUACCAAGAUUCUAUGCUUGUGUCAAUUCUACUCUUAAUACUCUAAGAAAACUCAUUCAUAGAGAAACAGAGGCCACAUGAAAAUUGGAGGAAUACUUCAGUAUUGUGCAAGUUUCACAAUCAUAUCUUAAUAUCAUGUAUUAUAAUUUGCCCUUUGUCUUCAUUCUUUUACACAAACCUCCUAUAUAAUAUGCAGUGCUCCAUGGUAGAGCAAUCAUCUGAGACUUAGGUUCCUAUAUAUAUCUCUUUCUCUGGGCUCACCACUUUUUCAUGGGGUUUUAUUGGUUUUCUGUCUAGUAGAGAAAGCAGGCCCUUAAACUGCGCAUUCUUGCCAGGCUUUAGUACUGUUUGACCACAUAUAAUUUAUUAUCACAAGAGACAAGUGUGAUGUUGCCAUGUGUCAUAUACUUCUUUGAUUUAUAUAAGAAAUAAAUACUCUAUUAUAUAGUAUUGGCUUGAAAGAUAGGUGUCAUAUUAGAUGUUUUGUGGUGGUUUGAGUUACAAAAUGUAGCAGGAAAAAUUUGACUAUUUAUUUUUCUGCUUUACAAGAUCUUACAAACAGCUGGACUCUAUCCAGGCUGUUAGUAAGUGUUACUGUAAAUAUUAAAGAGUUCACAAAUUUGUUGAUUUUAAUAAUAAUAUCUAUACAUUUCUCUUGUGAUGAGAAAACCAAGGAGGACUUGAGAUGAUUUAAUAAUUCUGUGGUAAUAAUCACAUCAGUAAGCAGCCUAGCAAUCAAGAGUAGCUAACAAUUAACUCUGACCAGAAAGAUCCCCACAGGCAUGAGGAUUCUGUAUUUACAGUAACAGUUGCAGCUUCUCAGUUCCCUGAGGAUUUAAAUUUCUGAGUUCUAGAAUAUCUAGCUUUGUGGACCAUUUCCACACCUGAAGCUUUUGUUUGUAGAAGAUCCUACUCCUCUUCUGUGCUUAAAUACACCACAUUCUUUACCCUCCAAGACAAGAUAUCCUUUAUUUGACCCUGGAUUUGGGAUCAUAAAAUUCUUCGUGGAAACAUGAUGCUUCCUCUUGCAGCAACUGAGUUUAUUUUGAUCUGUAAAUCCAAACUUUUCAGUCUUUAGAAAGAUAUAACUGAAUUACCUUUUCAGAUAGAAAUUAUAGUUCCCAUAAACAAAGUCAUCAUUCUCAGAUGGAACCUGUAAAUAAAAGAAAGAAGUGGGGGUCAGAACACUCAAAUUGUGUCCUUUUCAGAACCACCCAAGAUUUGGUGAAGAUGAGAAGGUUUCUGAAGAUCUAAACAUAGGGGGUACCUAAGAAUUGUCUAGGUUUUGAGAAACAGCAACUUCUCAAGUGUCCCCAUUGUGUACUGAGAGCUAUUGAUUGUGCAAGAUUUUCUUUCCAUCCAACGUACUUGUCACCCAUCACUUUGACAUGUUCAAGGUUGGAGGUUGCCUCUUGGAUAAAGACAUAUUGUGGAUUGAGGUACUUACCUGGACAAAGAAUCCUCUUCUGCAAAUCCUGCCUUUUAUCUAAACAGGUAGAGAACCACCACUGUUACUUUUAGUGAAAAUAUCAUCGGCUAUGUGCAUGUAUAUUGCUCUCCUUGACAAGUUGAGAUGAAGCUCUCACUGGAAGCUAUUGAGAAAAGGGAGAAAAGAAGGUCAUAAAAUUAUGAGAGGGAGACCAGGUACAGAUCUAUCUAUUGAUGAGAGAUUCUUUUCAGAGUGGAUAGAUUUUGAGUAAAAGGAUACAUAAUUGAGUAUAUUUUAAGUUUUAGUAGUUGUCUCUAUAAAAUCCUGCUGUGAUAUAUUAACUAUUCAAUAAAAGUCCAUUAUUAAAGAAUGUUUGCUGAGAAAGGUGUUUGCUCAAAGUUAAGAUAAAAAAAAUGAGGCAAAGUACAGUUUCUGGAGGAGAAAUAAUGAGUUGGAAAAACCAGGAAACACAAAGGUCUCUGCUAGAAGCUGUAGAUAAUUAGGGGGAAUUUAAUCCUUAACCAACUCUUGUUCUUGGCCCCGAGUCAUUUACUUUUACAUUUAAAUUCAGAUGGCUUUGAGACAUAAAGACAAUCAUCCAGGCUGAGACAGCAAAAACAAAUCUGACAGAAAUUAUGAAUGUGAGCCUCUUUCCUAAAUUACUAAAGAAACAUUAUUUAUUACCAUUAGCAAGACAGCUGAGGAGGAGACCCCAGGCUCCAUCACCCUCUUUGAAAACAAUAGCUAUAAAUGAACUCAGGAGUACAAACAAAAAUCUCAAUCAACAACAAAAUUAAAAAGAGAAAUAUGGAAGGAUAAGGAGUGUGUUUUGUCCUGCCGUUAUCAUCACACCAGCAGUAGGUGACAUCCAGAGAGACAUCCCAGCCUACAGUCAUCCUUUCACAGGAGAAGGAGCUGGUACCCAGCACAUACAGCCUUUCAGAACGAGAGUGUUUUGAGCAUCUUUCCUUUUAUUACUCUCCGAUUCUAGGUGAUGUCAGAAUAAUUGCCAAGUCUGGAGUUGGAGAGAUGGCAGUAGAAGAGGUGCAGGAACUAUCAGCAUCAGUGAUGUUAUGGCUAUCGUGACGCUUUGGGGGGACUGGAUUUUCAGGGGUCACAAAUACUUCCACUGCAGAAGAUUCACAGCAGCCGUGUAACAUGUCUCAAAGCAUUUGCCUCCAAGGAGCCUAUAAUAUCCAUAUUAUAUUUUGAGUAAGGGAUUUUCCUUAAGGACCAUUUACUAAGGGCUGUUUUACCAACCUGUUAUGCAGUGGUACAGCCUUUAGGAAGUGGCCACAUACUACAUCCCAGACACCAUUACCAGAUCUAGUACUACCAUAGAGGUGUCUAUGACCCAGGCCUGGCACCAACAGUGAACUCAUUGGCCGCAGUUUCCUCCUGUGGGAAAACAGAGGGAAAGAUGAAAAGCUUUGUCCUCUGUGUUCCUGAAGAGUUUCAGCUGUAUCAUAAACUACAUCUUGCCUCCACUCUUUGCUUCUAAGGUCUCCCAGUCUUUGCUGAUUUUAAUUGUGGCAUAAAGCUAUAUGGGGAUAACACUGUAUCCUUUUAGGAACAAGGCUGAAUGCAGGCACUUAGCUGGCAACCUUUGUUUCCUCCAUUGAAACAAGUUCAUGAGGCCUUGAGUUUGGUCCUAGUAUGCAAACACUAAUAUCAGUAUAUAAGGAACAUGAAGAUUUAAGGGGAUUUGGUACUACCCAAUGGAAACAAUAAUUUUACAGAAUUAUAUAACCACCUUCUCUUCAAAACUUCAUAUCCCUUUUUUUGUAUAACACAAUGAGCUCAAUUAUUAUUGCCUGAAUGUGCACACAUUAGGGUCAUCCACUGGAGCAUGGGCAGCCUGUGAAAGGCUACUUCCUAUUUUUAUUAUUAAUAUAACACUUCUCCAUUUAUCAUUUGCUAAAGUAAAGGAGUUUUUAGAAAUAGUUCUGUUCCUCAAAUAACUUUGUUGAAAGAAAAAUUCCCUAUUUUAGGACUUAUUUUCCCCUCUUCUCAUCUAUAAAUUCUUAUUGUUUCAAAUUUCACAGCCACUUUCAAAUUUGGCUGGACAAAUUAGGCUUAUUUUAUUGACAUUUUAUGCUGUCAGCUUUGGUUUAGUUUUUCUUAGCCUUACUAAUUCAUGCACCUCUAACACUUGUACCUUUUAAUGUUCUUUCUUUAAAGUUUCUGAGAUGAUAAUAUAAUUAUGGCAUUUCUCUCUUCCCUUACCUCUCCCAACCCUUCUGUGUAACUCUCUGUGUUCUGUUUGAAAUUCAUAGCCUUUUUUUCAUUAACUAUAAUUGCAUGCACAUACAUAUUUAAUGGGUGCAGUGAUUUAAUAUAUAUUUAAUUGCAUUUAGAUUGACAUUCUUGUGAAUAACUUGUUCAGUCUGUAUAAUGAUGUUUGUACGUAUGUUUUCAGGGCUAACCAUUUGGUAGUGGAUAGCCAGUCUGUGUGUUCUCCCUUGGGGAAGAGGAUUUCUCGGUUCUCAGCAUUCCUUAGUCCUCUGUAGUUCUUUGUAUAGGGUUGAGACUUCAUAGAAGUUUUCUUGCCUACUUUGGCAAAUCUAUGGGUGUGAUACUUGUGGAUAUCUCUCCAGUUAUCUUUGUAGGUUUAAGUUUUCAAAUGAUAUUUUUAAUGUUACUCACUGAGGUUGAGGGAGAGAACCAAAAUGAGUACACAUAUGUUUUGUAAAAUCUUUACCUGGACAUUGUUGUAUGCAUAGUAUAUUUUAAUAUUUGUGAAAUGCAAUGACAUACUUUAUACUCAAAAGCAUAUAUUUUAUCAAUAAGCUGCACAGGGAAAGUUUUGGAUAUCAAUAUCACAAUAGCUGAAAUGCUUGUCUUACUUCAAUAAAUUCAAUAAAUAAAUUGAUUUAAAGUAGUCUCAGUGAUUUAUUAGAGUCCCAGUCAUCCUAGAUGGAAUGUAAUCAUGGGAGGCAUUAACU